rnacentral:lncRNA from 1 species
UUCUAACUCUUUCUCAAUAACCCCACCACCACCAACCAACCGAUUAUCAGACUCGUCUUUUUGCAAUGCCUUAACUCUUAAACCAACAACUCUCAUUGCUUUCCCACGCUUGCUCUUCAAUGGAACACCAGAAAUUGGAGGUCUCCAAGAAUUCAAAGGCCCACAUGAAGAAUAUAGUUUCCAGCUACAAUUACAGGUUAAGUUCCCAUUUCUUUCAAAACCAGAUAAACCGUUUUGCCCAUUUGUCAUAAUUAUCACCUCCAUAUUAUCAAUUCACACCACACAGUCUCACAAGCCAAGCAAACCUCUAUCUUGGAGUCACUAAUUAUAUUGAUCAGCCUGUUUUAUAAUUUGAUUCGAGAUUUGGGUAAUGGGUUAAAUAUAUAAAAAUUAUUGAUUAUAACGAUAAGUUUAACAAGUUUUUUUUAAUGAAAUACUAUUAUUUUAUAUAAAAAUUAUUGAUUAGAUAAUCUUACAUGAAUUUUUAUAGGAUUAAUCUAGUCAUCAAGUUUAUCAAAUCGAAUUAAAUAAAGUAAACUGUUCAAAUAAUUCAAAAACCAUCAUGAUCCGAGAGUUAUCAGGCUAUUGAAUCAACCAAUCAGCGCAGGCGGAUUUGAGAUCUAUGAAGAAAGAUGAUGUAGACGGGUGAAGUAAUGCGUUGAACUUCCGUCAUAGCCUACACAGUUGACGAAGAAGGUAAUUGGGUAAUUUGUCACCUCUUUGCCUGUGUCUGGUCUGCAUGGAUACAUCUCUUUCCAAGUGUCUGUCAUGAAAACUCCCAAAAACACUUAAAAAAUGUUUGUUUUUUCAGAUAACUUGUUACUUAUGGUUUUUAUUUUAAAAAAUAAGUUUUUGAAAAAUAUAGUUACAUGUGGUUGUUGGAUUUAGAUAUAUAUUCAAUAAAAAUUAUGAUUAAAGUUUAUGUAUAACAAAAAAUAUAUAUAAAAUAUUUGGUAGAAAUGUGGUUGCGGUUGCUUUUUACUUGGAAAUGCAUUAGAAUAAAUUUUUUUAUUUUUAAAAAAAUUAUUUUUGAUAUUAGUGUAUCAAAAUGAUAUAAAAAUAUUAAAAAUAUAUUAAUUUAAAUAAAAAAAACAUUCAAAUUUUUUCAAAAAUAUUUUUGAAACGAAAAAACAAACAGGAUUUUACGAAAUUUCAUUAAAAAAACAUGUAAAAACUAAAAAUUACUAUAUAAAAACUGUGUUUUAAAUUUAUUUUUUUAAUAAAUUCUAUGAUAUAAAACACAAUUUAAUUUAUUAUCAAGCACCUUACCUUGUGUAAGUAAAAACAAAUAAAGCCUAAAGCGAAAGGAAAAACAUAAUUUGCAUCGUCCGAGGGCCUCUUUUCCCCUGUCGAGGUUUCAAUUUCAUGGCCCCCUUACGUUUUCCACUAGAAAGUUAUGGGCAAGAAGAUUCAACACGUGUAUAGAGUUUUAUAGGACCAAAAUCACAGGAACAGAGGUUGUCGGCUGGUUUUUUUUCUUCUUUGAAAUGUCGGCUGAUUUUUUUGUUUACCUGCUCCAACUAUAAAAUUAUGUGUCGGUGGCUUGAUGCUACUUGCUUAUCACUUUUUGUUUACUGUAGGAAUGGGGAGAUCCUAUGAAGGAGGUGUUCUACCACUACAUUAAACUAUAUAAAAGCUCUUUCAGAAUAAAUUAUUUAAUUUAAUAGGUAUAAAAUAACUUAGAUUAUAGGUAAAUAUAUAAAGUUUUUUUUAAUAAAAGCUUUGUGUAUAAAACCAUGGUGUUAUGUAUGAUUGAUUGAUUGAUAAGAAGUUAGCUGAAAAAGAACACAUCGUUUUCAUGGAUACACUGAGUUGCUAUCAUGUUAAAUAUGUAUAUAUAAAGAAAGAAUUGGCAGAAGACUGUAAGAUUAGGAAAUGCAAUUAAAUAUGUUUGUUUUUGUAUAUCAUGUUUUUUAAAUAUGUUUAUUUUUCUAGAUUUCUUGCUUUAUUUUGGUAUUUUAAUGUGAGUUAAUUACUUAGUUUAUUUUCUUUUUAAGAUUUUCUAGUUUUAAUAUGGAUAAUAUAUCUUCUAGAUUUGAAAGGCAAGGUAAUCUUAGUAUAAAAGCCAACUGUAGAGAUAUUCCUCUAGGUGGCUGGCUACAUAUGCAGACGACGAAAGGUCUAGCAAUAUCUCUGCUGGUGUUUCUUGGUUCGUGGAAGAAGCUGCCAACAGCAAGAGACUUCCAUUUCCGCACCCUUCAAGAACAUCUACCCUUUCUUUAAAUCUGCGGCUAAAAAUCUAGUGAUAAAUUAACGAAAAAUGUGCAAGAAGUUAUUCUAAAUACUUACAAUGCUGACAGAGGCGAAUGUGGAAUUUUCUCAGCCAUGGCAUGACAAAUUGACAAUGGUGGUUCGUGGUAGAUGCUGCCAACAUCCAUCAAUCAAUUAGUACAGGAGGAGGAUGUGAUUUAUUUUAUUUUUUAAUAAUAAAUAAUUAUAUUAUUUUUAAUGAGUUGUUUUGUUUUUAUUUGAUGUUUUUUUAUUAGUAGUACCAAACUUCGUUCAUUUUUAAAGUAUAACCAGAUUUUAUUUAAUAUAUUUUUAUAUAAAUUUUCAGAAUUUUUUCAUAAUUCAAUCAAGAAUUAUAAAUUUAUUUUUAUAUAAAACUAGUAUAAAAAUAUUGAUAAAAUCUUAACCUGAGCUAUAAUAAUAAUAAAAUAAAAAGAGGUUAAAGGAGGUUUUGAUAGCGGGAAGCUUAGAGGGAGUUUCUUUCUUUCCGGAUAGGCAAAUGCGGUUGCUUUGCUUUAUGGAAAGAAGAGAAGGGAACGGAAGAAAAGAGAAAAGAUGUGGAAGCAAUCAAGAAUCUUUGCUUUUCCACACAAGAGUGUAGUGCAGGGCAAGGCAAUAUUACUUUCCUUUGUUACUGCGUCACGAUGUCUUUUUGGAAAUUUAUUGGUAUUUAAUUUUAAGAUAAUUAAAAUAAGUAUUUGUCAAAAAAUUGAUAAAUUAAUUUUACAUAAAAAAAGUCAAAAUUCUCUUUUAUUAUUUAUUUUUUAUCUUGACAAAAACAUAUAUAUUUUUAAUUAGCAACAUAGUUGUUUUAAUAAAUAAAAAACUUGGUAAUUUAAAUAUGUAUUCAAGAAUUUUUAAUUAUUUAAAUUAAAAGGGAAAUCCUGAAUGGUUGUUAAUAAAUUUGUUUUGCUCUCUGUUUUUUAGUCACUUUUUUUUUUAUAUUUUGUUAUAUGCUUUGUGUUGGAUUCCACUUGUCCAGGCUUUCUUAACAUUUGUAGAUGGAGCGCAUGCGCAGUCCUUCUGCCUGAAGAGUAUACCAGUGAGGGUUGAAUCAGUCAUUUACUAUUAUCUCACAAAUUAAUAAAGAUGAAAGCAUAGUUAUUAAGAUUUUACUUUUACAAUCUUUUUGAUUUAUGAAUAUGCUUUCUUUUUUAUUGAUUUUUAAGUUUAAAUCCUGAAAUAAACAUUUAGAAAUACUUAAUAAAUUAAUUUAAAUAUAGAAAAUCAAUAUAGAAGCAUUACAUUUUUAUAAAACAAAUAAUUUAGCCUGGUCACAAAGAGUUUUUGAUCUAUUAAUUAUGGAUUUUCUUAAAACCUCACCCCCAGUUUUUAUGGGAACACAGAAAUAAAAAGACUCCCAAAAUCUCUUUUUAAAUCUGGUUGCAAGUGAAGAAUUAGAAGAGCUGCCCAAUCUAUUAUGGAUUGGGUGCUUGAAAUUCUUCAUACUUUAUUCAUCUUUAAUUGUGAAAAUCUAGAAAAUUUGACCUUAGAAGUCUUUGGAUGUGAAAAUCUUAGCAGCUUGAUUUCUUUGCCAGGAAGCAUAACAUACCUCACCACUCUAGAAGAAUUUUGUAUUAUUGAAGGUAAAAAGCUGAUUUGAUAACAAUAAAAGAAGAAAAAGAAGAUAAAAGCUUAGUUAUUGGUAAGUCCAAAUAUUAGAAGGGAAAGUGGUGAAGAAACAUCUCAUUAGGUACGGGUUAUGAAGAUUUAAAUAUAUCAUAUUUAGUUUUAUAUUUUUAUCCAUCCUUCAAUUCUUUUUAUUUCACUUAAAUUAUUUUUUCUAAAAAGAAAAUGCAAUGUUUAUUUGACAAAACCUCAUGUUUUGGAGGGCCAGGUUCAAGUGGAACUCCAUCAGAUUUAACCAGAGCAAAAAAACAAGACUUGGCAUGUCAUGAUAAAAUGCAAAGUUAACUAAUUUCAUUCAGCAAUUUAAAUUUCUUUGAACUUAAUACUUCAUUACUAAAUUCUAUGUUUGUCUAAUUUCUUCGGGUUUACUACUGUGAGGGUCCUGUCGACUAAUUUCCUUAAUUAUCUUGGCUAGCUGUGUGUGACGAUUUGUCAUCAAUAAAUUGAUAAACUUUUGGUUGUUCUGAAUUAUUGGCUUGCCUCUUUAUUUUAUUCAACUUAUCUUAUUUAAAAUAAUUAUGUUUAACAUAUAAACUCGUCUUUUUAAACAAACUGAAGUUGGGAGGAGAUCGAAGUAGCAAUUAUGCUACUUGUUUCAAAUAAUACAACAGUCAUCAAGAAUUUCAAACUUACCGCAAUGUCUCAUUCAUGAGUUUCAAAGAUCUUAAAGAAGAGACAUCCAUUUCCGCACCCUUCAAGAACACCUACCCUUUCAACCAUCUAGGUGGUGGCUCAGUGGUAAAAGCUUGGGACCAAGAGGUUUGCUCCCUCUGUGGUCUCAGGUUCGAACUCUAGGUUGCUCAUAUGAUGCCCACUGGAAGCUUACAUGGUCGUUAACUUCAGGACCCGUGGGAUUAGUUGAGGUGGGCGCAAGCUGGCCCGGACAUCCACGUUAAUCUAAAAAAAAAAAAACACCUACCCUUUCUUUAUAUCUGCGGCUAAAAAUCUAGUGAUAAAUUGAUGAAAAAUGUGGAAGAAGUUAUUCUAAAUACAUACAAUGCUGACAGAGGCGAAUGUGGAAUUUUCUCAGCCAUGGCAUGACAAAUUGACACCAGCCAUCAAUCAAUUAGCAUAGGGAGGAAGGACCCUCACGCAACUUUCUCUGCUUUAAUGUUCAAUGCAUUCCAAUGCUCACUUCAUUUCUUCUUUAAAAUACUUCACAAUUAAUUUUGUAAAAAAGUUAAUUUGAACAAAAAAAAUUAAUUAAUUUUUUUUAAAAACAUUUUUGAACAUAAAAAUAAUUAUUUUAUAAAGUAUUUUUUAUUUAAAAAUAUAUAAUAAUAAUAAUAAUAAUAAUAAUAAUAAUUUUUUAAAGCUACCUUUAAAUCUGGCUUUCAGUGGGACAAAUCUAUAUGGAACGUGACUUUCACUUCUAUGUUUGCUGCGGGGUACUAUUAUGUGUCGGUGGCUUGAUGCUAAUUGCUUAUUACUUUUUGUUUACUAUAGGAAUGGGGAGAUCCUAGAAGGAGGUGUUCUACCACUGCAUGAAGUCAUAUUCUCCUGUUGAUAAUGAAAGUAUUCAGCUAUCAGGGAGGAAGGGACCCUCAUGCAACUAUGCUCCGUUUCAUCUUUUAAUAUUUCACACCAUGCUUCUCUCUCUCUUGUGCUCAAAAUUUCUUCUUUGACCCCCCCUCAAAAAAAAAAAAAACAAACAAACAAACAGAGACGGAGAAUAUGGCAGCAGAGCUUCUUCUUACGUUUGCCUUGGAGGAGACUUUGAAAAGGGUGAGUUCCAUUGCUGCUGAAGGGAUCGGACUUGCUUGGGGAUUGGAGGGCCAGCUGCGAAAGUUCAACCAGUCCUUGACCAUGAUCAAAGAUGUGCUCCAAGACGCAGCCAGAAGGGCAGUAACAGACGAGUCUGUGAAGCGUUGGCUGCAGAACCUACAGGAUGUAGCUUACGAUGCUGAAGAUGUUCUGGACGAGUUUGCUUAUGAGAUUCUCCGAAAAGACCAAAAGAAGGGAAAGGUACGUGAUUGGUUUUCACUCCACAAUCCUGUCGCCUUCCGUUUGAUUAUGGGUCAAAAAGUUGAGAAGAUCAAUAGAGCCCUGGAUGAAAUCCGGAAAGAUGCAGCCGGAUUUGGGCUUGGAUUGACAUCUCUACUUGUAGAUAGAGCUCAAGAAGUUAGCUGGGACCCAGAUCGAGAGACACAUUCGUUCCUUGACAGCUCAGAAGUUGUAGGAAGGGAGGAUGAUGUCUCUAAAGUUAUGGAAUUGCUGACUAGCUUGACCAAACACCAACAUGUCCUUCCGGUUGUCCCUAUAGUGGGGAUGGCUGGCCUUGGAAAGACUACUGUAGCAAAAAAAGUUUGUGAAGUAGUGCGGGAGAGAAAACACUUUGAUUUAACAAUCUGGGUCUGUGUUUCUAAUGAUUUUAGUAAAGGGAGGAUUUUAGGAGAGAUGUUGCAAGAUGUUGAUGGAACUAGGUUGAGCAACCUAAAUGCAAUUAUGGAAUUGCUGACUAGCUUGACCAAACACCAACAUGUCCUUCCGGUUGUCCCUAUAGUGGGGAUGGCUGGCCUUGGAAAGACUACUGUAGCAAAAAAAGUUUGUGAAGUAGUGCGGGAGAGAAAACACUUUGAUUUAACAAUCUGGGUCUGUGUUUCUAAUGAUUUUAGUAAAGGGAGGAUUUUAGGAGAUAUGUUGCAAGAUGUUGAUGGAACUAGGUUGAGCAAUCUAAAUGCAAUUAUGAAAAAACUUAAGGAAAAGCUGGAAAAGAAGACAUUUUUUCUUGUUCUUGAUGAUGUGUGGAAUGAAGACCUUGAUAAGUGGAAUGAUUUGAAGGAGCAACUGUUAAAAAUUAACAGCAUGAAUGGGAAUGGUGUUGUUGUUACAACCCGCAAAAAGCAAGUCGCAGACAUGAUGGAGACUUCUCCUGGUAUUCAGCACGAGCCAGGAAAACUACAGAUGAUGAAUGUUGGUCCAUUAUUAAGCAAAAGGUGAGUUGGGGUGGACGAGAAACAAUAGCUUCAGACUUGGAGUCUAUUGGAACAGAGAUUGCAAAGAAAUGUGGAGGGCUUCCGUUGCUUGCUAAUGUUUUGGGAGGAACUCUUCACGGAAAGCAGGCAGAUGUGUGGCAGUCAAUUCUAAAGAGUAGAAAUUGGGAUUCUCGGGAUGUAGAUAAAAAAGCUUUGCGCAUAUUGAGAUUAAGUUUUGAUUACCUGUCAUCGCCAACACUGAAAAAAUGUUUUGCAUACUGUUCCAUUUUCCCUAAAGAUUUUGAAAUUGAAAGGGAAGAGCUGGUUCAACUUUGGAUGGCUGAAGGUUUUCUCAGGCCAUCAAAUGGGAGGAUGGAAGACGAAGGCAGCAAGUGUUUCAAUGACUUGCUUGCAAAUUCCUUUUUCCAAGAUGUUAAAAGGAAUGAGUGUGAGAUCGUAACAAGUUGCAAGAUGCAUGAUCUAGUGCAUGAUCUUGCAUUACAGGUCUCAAAAUCAGAAGCGUUAAAUCUGGAAGAGGAUUCGGCUGUUGAUGGUGCAUCUCAUAUUCGUCAUCUAAAUCUCGUAUCUCGUGGGGAUGACGAGGCAGCAUUAACAGCGGUUGAUGCUAAAAAAUUGCGAACUGUUUUCUCAAUGGUUGAUGCUAAAAAAUUGCGAACUGUUUUCUCAAUGGUUGAUGUACUCAACGGGCCUUGGAAAUUCAAAAGCUUGAGAACUCUCAAAUUGCAGGAGUCUAAUAUCACUGAGUUACCAGAUUCAAUUUGCAAGCUGAGACAUUUGAGAUAUCUUGAUGUCUCGGAUACUGCUAUCAGAGCAUUGCCGGAAUCCAUCACCAAGCUCUACCAUUUGGAAACAUUAAGAUAUACUGAUUGCGAGUCACUAGAAAAGCUUCCCCAGAAAGUGAGGAAUUUAGUGAGCUUGAGACAUCUUCAUUUUGAUGAUCCAAAGCUAGUGCCAGCUGAGGUGAGACUCUUAACACGCCUUCAAACUCUGCCGAUAUUUGCUGUGGGUCCAGAUCAUAUGGUUGAAGAGCUGGGAUGUUUGAAAGAACUAAGAGGAGCAUUGAAGAUAUGCAAGCUUGAGCAAGUGAGAGACAGAGAAGAAGCUGAGAAGGCAGAACUGAGUGGAAAAAGAAUGAACAAAUUGGUGUUUGAAUGGAGUGAUGAUGAAGGUAACAGCAGUGUCAAUAGCGAGGAUGUGCUGGAAGGCCUGCAGCCUCACCCAGACAUAAGAAGCUUGACAAUUGAGGGUUAUGGAGGUGAAAAUUUCUCAUCAUGGAUAUUGCAACUCAAUAAUCUGACGGUGCUGAGAUUGAAAGGCUGCAGCAAGUUGAGGCAACUCCCAACACUUGGAUGUCUUCCACGCCUUAAGAUUCUAAAGAUGAGUGUAAUGCCUAAUGUGAAAUGUAUAGGCAAUGAGUUCUAUAGCAGCAGAGACAGCGCAGGUGUACUGUUUCCAGCACUACAAAUACUCACUCUAUCCAGGAUGGAUGGUCUUGAAGAAUGGAUGGUACCAGGUGGAGAAGUUGUUGCAGUAUUUCCUUGUCUUGAAGAGUUGAGCAUUAAGGAUUGUGGAAAGUUGAAAAGCAUUCCGAUAUGUGAUGAGCUGAGAUAUUUGUCUGGUGAAUUUCAUGGCUUCACGUCUCUUCGAGUUUUAAGUAUAUGGAGCUGUCCAAAGCUGGCAUCCAUUCCAAGCGUACAACACUGCACAGCUCUGGUGUAAUUGGGUAUUAUUUGGUGCGGUGAGUUGAUCUCAAUUCCUGGUGAUUUCCGAGAUUUGAAUUCUUUGAAGAAAUUGAGGGUUAAUGGGUGUAAAUUGGGAGCUCUUCCAAGCGGACUACAAUGUUGCGCAUCUCUAGAGGUAUUAAAGAUAAAUGAUUGGAGUGAGCUUAUCCAUAGCAAUGAUUUUCAAGAAUUGUCUUCGCUUCGAAGUUUAUCGAUUAGCGGUUGUGAUAAGCUCAUCAGUAUUGAUUGGCAUGGUUUACGACAAUUGCCUUCUCUUGUUGAAUUAGAAAUCACCGCGUGUCCCAGUUUGAGUGAUAUCCCAGAGGAUGAUUGGUUGGGCCUCACCCAACUGCAGUAUUUGAGAAUCGGUGGUUUCUCAGAGGAGAUGGAGGCUUUUCCUGUAGGAGUUUUAAACUCAUUCCAACACCUCAACUUGAGUGGGUCCCUCAAAUCCCUAUACAUACAUGGAUGGGAUAAACUGAAGAGUGUACCACACCAACUUCAACACCUCACUGCCCUCGAGAUAUUGGGGAUAAUGGAUUUCGAUGGAGAGGAGUUAGAGGAAGCAUUGCCAGAAUGGAUGGCCAACCUUUCUUCUCUUCAAUCUCUUUGGAUUGGGGGUUGCAAGAAUCUCAAGUAUAUGCCAAGUUCAACAGCCAUUCAACGCCUCUCCAAAUUAAAGGAAUUGAUUAUCUUCGGGGGAUGUCCACAUCUUAGAGAAAAUUGUAGAAAGGAGAAUGGCUCUGAGUGGCCCAAGAUUUCUCAUAUCCCAACAAUCCAUAUGUAGGGUACACGUGUAUAGGGAAGUUGGUGUUUUAAUUAUUCCGUUACUUUGUAAUAUGCUGAGGAGAGAGAACCAAUUAAAGUAUUCAAAUUAAUGAAAGCAAUAAUUAGACUUUAUUCUUUUAAGAAUGGUUUAUUUCUCGUAUUACAAUAUUUUUAUAAAAAAUACUUUUAAUUAAGAUUGUUUGAAAAAAUAGAUGUUUUGUUAAAAUAGAUAUUUUACGACUCUUUGAUUUAUAACACUUAUAAAUUCAAUAUCCUAAUUCAUCAUAUCAAAACACUAAAAUUUAAAACCAUAUCUAGAACUUGAACUUUAACUUGUGAUAUAUUUAGUUAUCAAUUGAGCUAAAUGAAUGAUAUUAUUUUGGUCAAAUCAAAAGCCAUCUUUGUUAAUUACCCUAAUAAACUAUUGUUUAUCCAUAAUCAAAGAUCUCUUAUAGGCUUACAAAACUAUUUAUAAAGAAUGCAAACAUAGUACAUUUUGCAUGAACUAUCAUAAUCUACUUUAAAUACCUAGCAAUCAACUACUCUUUCUGAAAAAUCAUUCUUAGCCACCGGUUGGUAGAGUUUUCAAUGUACUUAGCAAUAGUUCUCCCAUCCCAAUGUAUGGAGUCAUUGUAAAAAUUUUAAAUGUAUCCAAAUGGAAAAAAUUGUUCCUUUAUCUUUCUCUUUAAUUGCUUCCACCAAGCAUAAGCUCGCCCUUUUAAUCUAAUACCAAUAAGCUUCACCCUUAUCUGUUCUUAAACUUUUAUGCACUUGAAAAUCCUUUAUACUUCAUUCAACUAAACGAUAAACUCUUCCACUUGUAAAGUUCCUACAAAAUUAGAAAGUUUAAUUUAAAAAUCAAAAUCUCCAUGAAGUGCUGCCCAAUUAAAAGGUUGCCUCCUCUAGAUUAGCCAGGGUUCACAAUUACUCUCCUCCUAUUCUUGUUGGGUGUUGUCGCACCCAACAUCGGGGCGGCCUUAAAAUUUUUAUUAAAUCUUUGGAAAGAAUGGAUUUCUGGCAUCCUGUUCUUUGAUGGGAAUAUUCUUGUUUAAGGAGUCGCCAUCUAGUAUUAUAGUUACUAGGAACCCUAAUUAGACAACAGAGAUUCUAUGGUUCGGGACUGGUUACAUAAAAUGGAAGAUAUUAUCACCCCUUAAACGUCUUGCCUGAGGCAGGCUGCAUUGCUGGUUUCGUCUUAAAUUGCUAAAUGUUUAUUAAUUUAUGUUAUGAAAAUUUGCUUAUAAUAUUCCUGACUCUGGCGCCAGUGAAUAUUUAAUUACGAAUAUUUCCAACUCUGGCGUUGGUAAAUAUUACGUAGCUAUAAAAAUAAAUUUAAAUCAGUAUUUUUUUUAUUCCCGACUCUGGCCCCAAUGAAUAAAUAAAUAAUAAUACAUUUAUUUUUUUGAAUGCACAUAUUUUUUAUUUUUUUUCUAGCUAAAUAAAAUUGAAUAAACGAAUAAAAAUAAUAUAAAUUUAAACCGGUAUUUUUAUUUCUGACUCUGGCGUCAGUGAAUAAACCAAUAAAUUUACAUUAUUUUUAUUCUCGCAUACACAUUCUUUUUUUUCUGUAUUAUUUUUUUUUUGUUGGGAUAGGCCCGGCCCGGCCCGGCAUAGUAUUUUUGGGCUGGGGCCUAGCUCAGCCCAUAUGGGCUGGGCUCAGAAGAACGCGUGCUGCUGCACUGUGCAAGUGAAUUAAAAUUCACUUGCACACUGCAUAAGGCAUUUGAAAUAAAUGCAGAAGAAGAAACCACUUACCUGGUCUGCUGGAAUCGAUGGACACGAUGGGGAAGCUCUGGCUGACCGGCACUGACUCCUCUCCUUUGCCCCUUCUUUUGCUUUCCUUUACUUUCUCUUCAGGUUCUGGAAACGCUGAAGGCAGUGGCAGCGAUCUCGUGACUUUCCUCUGCUCUUGUGUUUUUUUUUUUGGUCUGUGUGUCUCCUGGGUUUUCCAGUCGAGAAGAUGAUGAAGAGGCCGGCCUGAUGGGAACUUGUUUUUGAUUCAGGGUUUUUGUUGUUUGCAGGGACGAAACAAUGAGGGCCAAUCUCGUCUCUAUGUUUUGUUGUUCUCUGUGUCUCUGUGUAUUUAUUUAUGCGCGUCUCUCUGUUUUUCCCUUGUUUCCCCUGCUUUUCUUCUGUUUCUGGUUACUGGUAUUUUGCUCUGUCUCUCCUCCUCCCGAUCUUCUCUGUUCAAGACGAAGAUGAUGGUGGUCUAGGCACCAGGUCUGCUGGUUGAUGGCCCCUUCCCCCUCGGUGAAUUUGUGUUUUUUUACUCUGUAUUUUUAGCUCUCGAUCUCCCCCUCCUCUUUGUGUUUUCUUCGUCCUGCCUUUUAUAAGGCCAGAGACCUUCAAAAAACCAUCACCUCCACCUACGGGAUUGUGGCAAUCGUGGCAGAAGACAUCGUCACGAUUUGGAUCGGAUGCACUGGGAUUUUCCUAUUGAAUCGGCUGCCUCCGUGCGAAACGGAAGGGAUGAAGAACACAGCUUCCAAACGGUGUCGUUUGUGUGUUUGAAGCACUUUUUCACUUUGGUCCCUGCUUUCUUUGGAAAUUUUGAUAAUUGGACCUCAAAUAAAAAUUCCUUUUAAUUUUGCCCUUUUCUGGAUACAUUUCAAUUUGGUCCUUAAUUAAUUCUUUCAAUUUUGUCCUUUUUGGAUAAAUUUCAAUUAAGUCCCUGAAUUUAUUUAAUUAAUUAAAUCCAAGUUUAAUUAAGUCCACAAACUUAAUAAUUCUUCUAAUUUCAUUAAUUAAACUAAUCCAAAUUUUAAACAAAUUUCCAAACUUAUUAAUUCUUCAAUUUCUGACCAAUUUAUUCUCAAAUCUGAUAUUUUUCUCCCUAAACUUUAAAAUUUGUUGUCUUAACCCCAUUGUCAACUAUAUUUUUAAUCAUUGAUUUUGUAUUAUUUAUUUAAAAAAUUGGGUUAUGACAGUUGCCCUCUCUUUAUAGUAUUUAUGAUGCAAAGAUAUUGAAAUUUUUUUUAUUUUCUAUAGCUUUGUGUCGUGAAUUUAUAAAGAAAAAUAGACACAGAAAGAACUUUUGCCUCUUUUUUAGAGUCUUGAACACUUCAAAAACCAGAGAUUGACAUAUGACUUUUAUACAGAAAACAAGUCAUUUGGAAGAUAGCCUAUUUUUUUUUUUUUUAUUUUUUUUUAUGGUCGAGGGCUCGAAGGCGCACUCGAAAAUAAAUAAGACGAGGGCUCGAAGGCGCGCUCGAAUGGAGGUAGGAUAGAAAAUGCACUACCUUUGAUGGUCGAGGGCUCGAAGGCGCGCUCAAAAAUAAAUAAGUCGAGGGCUCAAAGGCGCGCUCGAAUGUAAAUAAGACGAGGGCUCGAAGGCGUGCUCGAAUGGAGGUAGGAUAGAAAAUGCACUACCUUUGAUGGUCGAGGGCUCGAAGGCGCGCUCAAAAAUAAAUAAGACGAGGGCUCGAAGGCGCGCUCGAAUGGAGGUAGGAUAGAAAAUGCACUACCUUUGAUGGUCGAGGGCUCGAAGGUGCGCUCGAAAAUAAAUAAGACGAGGGCUCAAAGGCGUGCUCGAAUGUAAAUAAGACGAGGGCUUGAAGGCGCGCUCGAAUGUAAGACGAGGGCUCGAAGGCGCGCUCGAAUGUAAGACGAGGGCUCGAAGGCGCGCUCGAAUGGAGGUAGGAUAGAAAAUGCACUACCUUUGAUGGUCGAGGGCUCGAAGGCGCGCUCGAAUGUAAGACGAGGGCUCGAAGGCGCGCUCGAAUGUAAGACGAGGGCUCGAAGGCGCGCUCGAAUGGAGGUAGGAUAGAAAAUGCACUACCUUUGAUGGUCGAGGGCUCGAAGGCGCGCUCGAAAAUAAAUAAGAUGAGGGCUCGAAGGCGCGAUCGAAUGUAAGACGAGGGCUCGAAGGCGCGCUCGAAUGGAGGUAGGAUAGAAAAUGCACUACCUUUGAUGGUCGAGGGCUCGAAGGCGCGCUCGAAAAUAAAUAAGACGAGGGCUCGGAGGCGCGCUCGAAUGUAAAUAAGACGAGGGCUCGAAGGCGCGCUCGAAUGUAAAUAAGACAAGGGCUCGAAGGCGCGCUCGAAUGUAAGACGAGGGCUCGAAGGCGCGCUCGAAUAGAGGUAGGAUAGAAAAUGCACUACCUUUGAUGGUCGAGGGCUCGAAGGCGCGCUCGAAAAUAAAUAAGACGAGGGCUCGAAGGCGUGCUCAAAUGGAGGUAGGAUAGAAAAUGCACUACCUUUGAUGGUCGAGGGCUCAAAGGCGCGCUCGAAAAUAAAUAAGACGAGGGCUCGAAGGCGCGCUCGAUGUAAGACGAGGGCUCGAAGGCGCGCUCGAAUGGAGGUAGGAUAGAAAAUGCAUUACCUUUGAUGGUCGAGGGCUCGAAGGCGCGCUCGAAAAUAAAUAAGACGAGGGCUCGAAGGCGCGCUCGAAUGUAAGAUAUGACGAGGGCUCGAAGGCGCUCUCGAAUGUAAGAUAGGACAAGGGCUCAAAGGCGCGCUCGAAUGGAGGUAGGAUAGGAAAUACACUACCUCAGGAGUGGAAACUGAAAGGUGGUGAAAAAAAUACAGAGAUUUUUCUGGUAACCUAAUUCUCAUGGGCGGCUUGCCCAGGUUGAAAAAUUCUCAAAAAAUGAUAACUUUUCAAAAGCAAUUUCAACGUUCGCCAUUUCAAGUUGGCCUUCCACUGGAUGGAUUUUGUUUAAAAAUUUUUCUAAUGCAAAAAGUCAUUGCUCAAUGUUUCAAAGUUUAGAUGAGAUGUAUGCAUCUUUACCUGAUUUGAAAUAUAGGCCCCCAUUUCUUCGCAAUCUUCUUGUUGAUCAGUUGAUGAGAUCUUGUUAUCUGAUUUGAGUCAUCUUUGUCGCUUGACUUCUAGCCCACUCGAGUUGGCCUAUGUAAGUUUAUUUCCAGAUUUGUUUACACCUCAGUUUUUGUGGUGCCCAUUGUGACCCGCUUGCUUGCUAGAGAUUUUCUAUCUCGUCAAAUAAUUAAGUCCACAAACUUAAUAAUUCUUCUAAUUUCAUUAAUUAAACUAAUCCAAAUUUUAAACAAAUUUCCAAACUUAUUAAUUCUUCAAUUUCUGACCAAUUUAUUCUCAAAUCUGAUAUUUUUCUCCCUAAACUUUAAAAUUUGUUGUCUUAACCCCAUUGUCAACUAUAUUUUUAAUCAUUGAUUUUGUAUUAUUUAUUUAAAAAAUUGGGUUAUGACAGUUGCCCUCUCUUUAUAGUAUUUAUGAUGCAAAGAUAUUGAAAUUUUUUUUAUUUUCUAUAGCUUUGUGUCGUGAAUUUAUAAAGAAAAAUAGACACAGAAAGAACUUUUGCCUCUUUUUUAGAGUCUUGAACACUUCAAAAACCAGAGAUUGACAUAUGACUUUUAUACAGAAAACAAGUCAUUUGGAAGAUAGCCUAUUUUUUUUUCUUUUUUAUUUUUUUUUAUGGUCGAGGGCUCGAAGGCGCCCUCGAAAAUAAAUAAGACGAGGGCUCGAAGGCGCGCUCGAAUGGAGGUAGGAUAGAAAAUGCACUACCUUUGAUGGUCGAGGGCUCGAAGGCGCGCUCAAAAAUAAAUAAGUCGAGGGCUCAAAGGCGCGCUCGAAUGUAAAUAAGACGAGGGCUCGAAGGCGUGCUCGAAUGGAGGUAGGAUAGAAAAUGCACUACCUUUGAUGGUCGAGGGCUCGAAGGCGCGCUCGAAAAUAAUAAGACGAGCCUCGAAGGCGCGCUCGAAUGGAGGUAGGAUAGAAAAUGCACUACCUUUGAUGGUCGAGCUCGAAGGCGCGCUCGAAAAUAAAUAAGACGAUUGCUCAAAGGCGUGCUCGAAUGUAAAAAGACGAGGGCUUGAAGGCGCGCUCGAAUGUAAGACGAGGGCUCGAAGGCGCGCUCGAAUGUAAACGAGGGCUCGAAGGCGGCGCUCGAAUGUAAGACGAGGGCUCGAAGGCGCGCUCGAAUGGAGGUAGGAUAGAAAAUGCACUACCUUUGAUUGGUCGAGGGCUCGAAGGCGCGCUCGAAAAUAAAUAAUGAGCGGCUCGAAGGCGCGCUCGAAUGUAAGACGAGGCUCGAAGCGCGCUCGAAUGGAGGUAGGAUAGAAAAUGCACUACCUUUGAUGGUCGAGGGCUCGAAGGCGCGCUAAAAUAAAUAAGAUGAGGGCUCGAAGGCGCGAUCGAAUGUAAGACGAGGGCUCGAAGGCGCGCUCGAAUGGAGGUAGGAUAGAAAAUGCACUACCUUUGAUGGUCGAGGGCUCGAAGGCGCGCUCGAAAAAUAAAUAAGACGAGGGCUCGAAGGCGCGCUCGAAUAAAUAAGACGAGGCUCGAAGGCGCGUCGAAUAAAUAAGACGAGGGCUCGAAGGCGCGCUCGAAUGUAAGACGAGGGCUCGAAGGCGCGCUCGAAUGGAGGUAGGAUAGAAAAUGCACUACCUUUGAUGGUCGAGGGCUCGAAGGCGCGCUCGAAAAUAAAUAAGACGAGGGCUCGAAGGCGCGCUCGAAUGGAGGUAGGAUAGAAAAUGCACUACCUUUGAUGGUCGAGGGCUCGAAGGCGCGCUCGAAAUAAAUAAGACGAGGGCUCGAAGGCGCGCUCGAAUGGAGGUAGGAUAGAAAAUGCACUACCUUUGAUGGUCGAGGGCUCGAAGGCGCGCUCGAAAUAAGACGAGGCUCGAAGGCGCGCUCGAAUGAAAAGACGAGGGCUCGAAGGCGCGCUCGAAUGUAAGAUAAGACGAGGGCUCGAAGGCGCGCUCGAAUGGAGGUAGGAUAGAAAAUGCACUACCUAGGAUGGAAACUGAAAGGUGGUGGAAAAAUACAGAGUUUUUUGGUGGCCUAAUUCUCAUGGGCGGCCUGCCCAGGUUGAAAAAUUCUCAAAAAUGAAAAUUUUUCAAAAGCAAUUUGAUCUUUGGCCAUUUCAAGUUGGCCUUCCACUUGAUGGAUUUGUUGGAAUUUUCUAAUGCAAAAAUCAUUGUCAAUGUCUCAAAGUUUAAAUGAUAUGCAUGCAUCUUUACCUGAUUUGAAAUAUAGGCCCCCAUUUCUUCAAUCUUCUUGUUGAUUGUUGGUGAGAUCUUGCUAUCUGAUUUGAGUCAUCUUUGUCGUUUACUUUCUAGCCCACUCGAGUUGGCCCAUGUAAGUCUAUUUCCAAAUUUGUUUACAACUCAGCAUUUGUGGUGCCCAUCGUGACCCACUUGCUUGCUAGAGAUUUUCUGAUUCGUCAAAUAAUUUGAGAGGAUUAUUCAUUACCCCUCGUUCACUGCUAAAAACAUUGGUAUCACUUGCUGAAAGGAUCGAGCUGUCUUUUGUAAACCAAAAUGCCCCCUUGUCUGUUGAAGGAUGAUAGAAUUUUCCUUCUAAACACAAUGUUGCCCCCUUGUAUUGGUCAUUGCCCCCAAGUGUGUUAUGUCACUGACUUAGAUGAACAAUGGUUUUUAAGAGGCCAUUCUCUCAUUUGGUGAAGGAAUAUGGGUCUAGAAUGAAUCUUGAAAUCUUGAUCUUGCAUUUUGAAAACAAAAAUUAUUUCGAUGUGAGUCUAAAACAAUUUGCUUUUGAAAUCUUGCAACUCCUUGGUUAUUUUCUUUCUUGGAAAAGAGAUUAUUUGCUCUUGUGUUUGGCAAUGAGGUCUUCGGUGAAAAUAUGUCAUGAGAUGACCUUUUGUUUCGAAGUGAAGGGCUCGAGAAAAAGCUCGAGGUUUUGUAUGAGAAAAACUUGUCUCUUUUUGAACAUUUAUUUUUAUCAGCAUGAAUAAUAAUGAGUAGUUUAUUCUUGAUGUCAUGAAUCUUAUGAAAAAGUAUUCUUUGCAUUUUGAGAGCAUUGUUUAUUGUUCUAGAUUGCUUGCUUGCUUGAUUAGAAAGGACUUCUACAGGCACGUAACAUAGGCUGUGGUUUUUGGCUAUGAAAGAAAAGGAUUCAUAAGGCUCAAAGAGUGUUUCAGGGUUUCAAAGACUGAAGAUCACGAUCAAUAGUUUGACUUUUGACGUCAUUCAUAUUUUCCUUUGCCGCUCUUCUUUGAUUUGCCCCCUUUUUCUUCUUUUUCAUUGCUUCGCUAGAGCAUACUCACUUUAUCUUGGUUAUCACUUUUUCUUGUGAUUUGGGCAUGCCCCCUAGUAUUUGAGUUUCUUGGGCUCUUUUGCCUUUUGGCUUUCUCACGGCUUUAUCCUCUUUCUUGAUCAUUGAAAUUUCACUUGCCCCUUUUUUUGUGAUGUGGGCAUGAUCCCUAGCAUUUGAGUUUCUUGGGCUCUUUUGCCUUUUGGCUUUCUCACGGCUUUAUCAUCCUUCUUGAUCAUUGAAAUUUCACUUGCCCCCAGUGUAGGGUGUGAUCUUAGUCGGGAUUUUUUUAUGAAAGAAAAAUUAUUCAGGCUCAAAAAGGGUUUGCAAGGGAUGUACUUAUUUUAGAACGUGAAAGGAAUAACAAAGAUGGCCUUUCCUCAUUUCAAGCGCAAGCAGCUAUGAUCAAUAAACUUUGACCUCGUAUAGUGUGAUGGUUUAUUCUUUGCAAAGAUGCAUUUCAUGAGUUAUGAGCAACAAGUUCACUACAUACCAUUAUUCAUACAUUUAAAAACACAUGAUUCAAGAGUAAUGGGGUAAGGGUGUUUAUUUUUUUUUUUCACAAUUGUUUUUAUAAUUUAGUCACCUCAAUGAUGGAGUUGCUUGAUUCACUUGUCAUUCUACAAGUAGAAUGUCAAAAAUAUCGUUUUUGAAUAAACAUCAAAUUAUUUUUUGAAAUCAAAAUGCCAGAUCAAUUUUUUUCAAAACUCCAAUAGGGAAACUGAUUUUUGGUAAAAGAGAUGAAUUGCGUCUAUGAGAUCGCACAAGGCUUCAAAGAUGUGUUUGUGAAUCUUUAUAAGAAAACUCUCUCAGAAAAAAUGAAUAAUGCUAAUCGUAAACACGAUUGAAUGACAAACUCAUUAUUUUCAUUGAAACUUUAGAAAAUAAGUUCAACAAGAAAGAACUUAUGACAACAUCUUGGGCUAUGAAUACUGGCAUGAUAACAUAUAAAGGGCUAAACAUUUAGCGAUCAUUGAUUGGAAUUUCUGGAAUUUCAAUCAUUCAUUCUCCUCGACAAGGGCAUCUUUUCAACAGUCAAUUGAAAUCAAAUGUAGAUCAUUCUCGACCUAAUAUCACCAUAGCUUUAUCUUCAAGAUAGUUGAUUUCUAGGAGUCGAUGUGAAGCAAUUAGCUAUAGAAAUGAUAAGUGCCUUGGCAACCACCUUCAGUGAAACCGUUCUUCUCAGUCGGGUUAGCAAUCUUACCUAACCCAAUGGCUUGUUCAAUCCUCUCAGCUAUAACAACUAGGUCAGUGAAAUGUUGUGCAGAGCUUCUAACCAAGUAUUCAAAGUACGGAGCUUUAAAGGUGUCGGAAAAUAAAUUGAUCAUCUCUUUUUUCAACAUGGGAGGGUUAACUUGUGCAGCUAACUCACUCCAUCUCCGGGCGUAUUCUCUUAUGGACUCCUUGUUGUCCUUCUCCAUAGCUUGCAAGCUUAAACGAUCAGGGCCCACGUCUAUAUUGAACUUAUAUUGCCUCAUGAAGGCAUCAACUAAAUUCUUCCAUUUUUUAACCUUGGUAUUGUCCAACCGCAUAUACCAAGUGAGGGAGACAUCACUCAAGCUGUCUUGAAAGAAAUGAAUCAACAAUUCUCAUUAUCAACAACCUCAACUAUUUUAUUUCAGUAUGAUUUGAGAUAAGUUAUAGGGCAUUGAGUUCCCGUAUAUUUAACAAAUUCUGGCACUCUAAAAUUUUUGGGAAUGACAACGUUGGGCACCAAACACAUCUCAGCAGCCUUUAUAGGAUCAUAUAAGUGAAUUCUUUCAAAUGCCCUCAUCCUUUGUUCUAGGGCAAUGAAUUUAUUCAGCUCAUCUUCUUUUACCAUUUUGCCCUUUUGAGAUUCAUUCUCUGUAGAAUCAAUGGUAAACGACAUUCUCGUGGGGUAUGCUGGUUGAAAAUGCGUGGCUUGUCGAAAAUCAGAUGACAACCCAUUUGCCCCCAGAUUAUGUGGAUUGAAGGAAUUUACAAGCAUAGGUUAAGGCUGAGCUAUAAAUGUUACUUUUCCAGAUUUAUCUCUCAAGGCCUGCUCGAGUAGACUAGUAAGCCUUGCGACUUCUUCUUUAAGAUUGUCCACCUCUUUUUGAUGUUGGGCUUCCAACUGGGCUCUUUCUUCGUUUUCCAUUUGUCUUUUCUCGAAAGGGUUUAUUAUAUGUAGGUUUCAAUGGGGAACCUAUAUUUCAACCUGUAAAUGUAAAUCAUGCAAUUUAUGCAAAAAUGUUGAUUCAAUUAAAAAUGCGUAUGGAAUGCAGAUACGUCCUUCACGGGAUGACAACCUAAUAGGAAGAUCCUAAUUGUUGAGUGCAUCAAAGGGUUGGUCAUUAUCUAGUUUCAAAGGGUCUCUCGCAUGCUCAGUGAUCGUCCAUGAAAGGUCGAUAUGAGGCUUACAAGUAGUGUGAAAAUAGAGGCCCUGAGUAAUAUCAGUUUGGCAUAUCAACCACUUCCAAGUAAACAAUCAAGCGAGAGUUGGAUGGUUUCACGAGUCUUACCCAGGCUAAAGCCAUUGGGGUACCGUUACUUUUCCACUUAUCCUAGAUUUUCAGGUGUGUGCUCUCAACGUGAUGCAUGACAAUAUAAACAUGGAUGCAUGCUAAAGCAGUAAAUUCAAGAAAAAUAAACAAAUAAACAUAACAUAACAAACAUUAUAGCAAUUGAUAAACAAAAGGCAAAGCUUAGUCCAUUAGUCCCCAGUGGAGUCGCCAUUCUGUCGCAUCCAACAUCGGGGCGGCCUUACAAAUUUUAUUAAAUCUUUGGAAAGAACGGAUUUCUGGCAUCCUGUUCUUUGAUGGGAAUAUUCUUGUUUAAGGAGUCGCCAUAUAAUAUUAUGGUCACUAGAAACCCUAACUGGUCAACAGAGAUUCUAUGGUUCGGGACUGGUUACAUAAAAGGGAAGAUAUUAUCACCCCUUAAACGUCCUGCCUGAGGCAGGCUGCAUUGUUGGUUUCGUCUUAAAUUGCUAAAUGUUUAUUAAUUUAUGUUAUGAAAAUUUGCUUAUAAUAUUCCUGACUCUGGCGCCAGUGAAUAUUUAAUUACGAAUAUUUCCAACUCUGGCAUUGGUAAAUAUUACGUAGCUAUAAAAAUAAAUUUAAAUCAGUAUUUUUUUUAUUCCCGACUCUGGCGCCAGUGAAUAAAUAAAUAAUAAUACAUUUAUUUUUUUGAAUGCACAUAUUUUUUAUUUAUUUUUUUUCUAGCUAAAUAAAAUUGAAUAAACGAAUAAAAAUAAUAUAAAUUUAAACCGGUAUUUUUAUUUAUGACUCUGGCGUUAGUGAAUAAACCAAUAAAUUUACAUUAUUUUUAUUCUCGCAUACACAUUCUUUUUUUCUAUAUUAUUUUUAUUUAUUUUUUGUUGGGCUGGGCCCGGCCCGGCCCGACAUAGUAUUUUUGGGUUGGGGCCUAGCUCAGCCCACAUGGGCUGGGCUCAGAAGCACGCGUGCUGCUGCACUGUGCAAGUGAAUUAAAAUUCACUUGCACAGUGCAUAAGACAUUUGAAAUAAAUGCAGAAGAAGAAACCACUUACCUGGUCUGCUGGAAUCGAUGGACACGAUGGCGAAGCUCUGGCUGACCGGCACUGACUCCUCUCCUCUGCUCCUUCUUUUGCUUUCCUUUACUUUCUCUUCAGGUUCUGGAAACGUUGAAGGCAGUGGCAGCGAUCUCGUGACUUUCCUCUGCUCUUGUUUUUUUUUUUUUGGUCUGUGUGUCUCCUGGGUUUUCCAGUCGAGAAGAUGAUGAAGAGGCCGGCCUGAUGGGAACUUGAUGCAGCACCGGGUGACAAGCCUCAUUUUUAAGACACCCAAAACAACAAAAAGGCUUGACAUUGUUGAGUCAUAAAUUUCACUAUUGAGCACUUUAAGUUUCUUACGUAACGCUGGGAGUUUCAUUCCCGUUUCCUCACAUAGCUUUUAUUUCCAUAAUUAAAUUAGAGUUGUUUGCUUUAGGAGUCUAAGAGUUUAAUUUUCUUUCCGUUUCUACAUUCAGUUUUAUUUCCUAGUUAAUGCAGGACUGUUUCCUGAUCUAAGGGAGUUGUCUUUAGGAGUCUAAGAGGUCAGUUCCUCUAUUUAUUGGAUUGUAAUCGCUUUGCGACAGAUAGAUGGAAUAAAAAUAAAAAAACUUCUUUGAGUAGUUAACUCAAAAAUCUCUCUUUCUCUGUUUUCUGCGGAAUUACAGAUCGAAGAAACCCUUGUGUGUUGGAACACGUGCGAACAUACCGAACCCUUGUGAACAACCGUUGGAUGAAGUCUAUGAGCGCGAUGAGAUUGCACGAUUACAACAGCAAGUCGAGACGUUAACGCGGCAGUUAGCAGCGUCAAUGGCUCAACAUCAGGAUCAGAAUCCACAAAACAUGGAAGAGGAGUCCGAAAGUGAAGAAAAUCCAUUCGCCCCUUAACUAGCACAGAGGAGACCAGCGAAUGACGAAUCAAGGCGUUGGGAGAUAGGCCUCAAAAUUGACAUACCAGAGUUCCAUGGUGGUUUACAAACGAAUGAGUACCUCGACUGGAUCAAUACCGUAGAUGAAGUUUUGGAAUUUAAACAAGUUCCAGAAGACAGACGGGUGGCCCUCGUUGCAACAAGGCUCAGGGGUCGGGCUGGAGCUUGGUGGCAACAGGUAAAGAAAACAAGGGCUCUACAGGGGAAAAGAAAGAUCACGUGAUGGGACAAGAUGAAAAAAAACAUGCGUUCUGCGUUUUUACCAUACAAUUAUACACGGACGCUCUACCAACGGUUACAAAAUCUAUGACAAGGCAACCGAUCAGUUGAUGACUACACUACGGAGUUCUACCAACUAGUUUCGCGAGAUGCGAUUGCAGAGGACGAGGAGUCGCGGGUGGCGCGAUAUAUUGGGGGACUGUGGAUUCAAUUCCAAGAUGUCCUUAAUAUGUUUGAUGUGUUGAGUGUGUCUGAUGCUCACCAGAGGGCAGUGCAAUUAGAAAAACAACAGGUGCGCAGAAAUACAGGGGGCAUAAAUUUUGGAGGUCCGGGUGCAGGUACGAGCAAUAAAAGCGGACGAACAGGGAACAUGAGUUUCGGGGGCUCCAGUACAGGUGGUGCAAGUAGCAGUAGCAGCGGACGAGCAAACAUCCCACCAUCUACUAUGACCAAACCCUUUGUGCCCACUCACACAACGGCACCAACCACAGGUUUUCGUUGUUUUAAUUGUGGAGAGCCAGGACACAGAUUUGCAGAAUGUAAGAAAGGACCACGGAGGGGAUUAUUUUGGACGUUGAAGAAAACAUCAGGGUGCAAGAAGGCGAUGUGACACAGAACCAGUUUAUGAUGAGGAGGAGCGACUGGAAGGAGAUCAUGGUCCCUUAUUGAUGAUUCACAAGAAGCACAUGGGUUAUUGCCGAGGGGAAAGUGUGGAAAUCAACCCUGGAACAACCUAUAGCAGCACAAAGAUAAUUGAAGAGCGUUUAGAGGGGGAUACUGGACCAGUAUUAAUGAUCCGACGUAGUUGCUUAGCACCCCGUGGAGUAGAAGAUGACUGGUUGCGGACUAAUGUAUUCCAGUCCACCUGCACAAUUAGCAGGAAGGUUUGUCGAUUUAUCGUUGACUCAGGUAGCUGUGAAAAUGUAUUGUCCGAAGAGGUGGUCCGUAAGCUACACCUGGCAAUAGAAUCACAUCCGCGACCAUAUAAACUAACUUGGCUAGAUAAGAAGAAUGAUGUUAGAGUGACAAGGCGCAGCUUAGUGUCUUUUUCAAUUGGCGCAACCUACAAAGAUCAGGCUUGGUGCGAUGUGGUUUCCAUGGAUGCUUGUCAUCUAUUAUUGGGCAGACCAUGGUUAUAUGACCGCGUGUGAUGUAUGAUGGGUUCUUGAAUACAUGCACUUUCAUGUUUAAUUCAAUCAGGGUUGUUGGUCCCAAAAAGAGAAAGUUACAGCGGCAUUCCAAAAGGAGAAAACAACAAUUUAUUGACGAUGGCUAAGUUUGAAGCGGAAAUUAGGGAAUCUGGAAUGGUUUACAUACUGAUUGGAAGAAUGGAAGUUGAGGACAAGCAUCAUUCCGGGCACGUUGAACCAUUAUUGCAGGAGUAUGGAGAUGUAUUUCCAGCUGAGCUUCCUGAAAGCCUACCCCCAUUAAGGGACAUUCAGCACCACAUUGAUCUGGUGCCCGGUGCCAAUUUGCCCAACAGACCACAUUAUCGGAUGAGUCCGAAGGAGCAUGAAGAAUUACGGCGCCAAGUAGAGGAAUUGCUAGCAAAAGGACAUAUUCGAGAGAGUCUUAGUCCUUGUGCGGUACCUGCCCUUUUGACCCAAAGAAAGAUGGGACUUGGCGAAUGUGUGUUGACAGCAGGGCCAUCAAUAAAAUUACGGUUCGUUACAGGUUUCCAAUCCCACGGUUGGAUGACUUGCUGGAUCAGUUGAGUGGGGCCACAAUUCACGAAGCUGGACCUGAAGAGCGGAUAUCACCAGAUUCGUAUUCGACCCGGAGAUGAAUGGAAAACAGCCUUCAAACUCGAGAAGGACUUUUUGAGUGGAUGGUCAUGCCGUUCGGGUUGUCUAAUGCCCCAAGCACAUUCAUGCGGGUGAUGAAUCAAGCCCUACGGCCCUACAUUGGUAAAAGCGUGGUGGUAUAUUUUGAUGAUAUUUUAAUUUACAGUGUUGAUCCUACGAUGCAUCUACAACAUCUUCGGGAGUUUUGGAUGUGUUACGCAGGGAGCAGUUUUUGCAGCAAAAACAAGUGUGUGUUCUUAACUGACCGGGUCUUGUUCUUGGGGUAUAUCAUUUCUUCUGAAGGGCUCUCAGUAGACGACUCAAAAAUUGAAGCCAUCAAACAGUGGCCACAACCACAAAACGUGACUGAUGUCCGAAGCUUCCAUGGGUUGGCCUCGUUCUAUCGCCGUUUCAUUCCACACUUCAGUGGCAUAAUGGCCCCAAUGACUGAUUGUAUGAGGAGCAAUGGUAAGUUUACAUGGACACCUGAGGCCGAGAUAUCCUUCCAAGAAAUCAAGCAACGACUGACCACUGCCCCAGUACUUGUUCUGCCAGACUUUUCAAAUCCUUUUAAGCUACAUUGUGACGCCUCAAAACUAGGAGUCGGAGCGGUUCUGAGCCAAAAUAGCAGGCCUGUCGCCUUCUUCAGUGAGAAACUCUCAGGGGCAAAGACACGGUACAACACCUAUGACAUUGAAUUAUAUGCAGUGGUUCAAGCAGUAAAGCAUUGGAGGCAUUAUAUGUUUCUUCAGGAGUUCGUUUUGUUCACUGAUCAUGAUGCCCUUAAACACAUGGGGAAUCAAGAUAAGAUUUCAUCUCGACAUGCAUCUUGGGCUGCAUACUUACAACAAUUCACUUUUGUCAUUAAACAUAAGGCGGGCACACAGAAUCGAGUGGCUGAUGCCCUCAGUCGUCGAAAAAAUUUGCUGGUUGACAUGCAUGUCAAGGUAUUGGGUUUCGACUCCUUUCAGCAGCUUUAUACCUCUGACCCUUUCUUUGCUGCUGUGAUAGAGAAAAUUCAGAACAACCAACAAAGUGAUUUUGUCCUGCAAGAUGGGUUUGUUUUCAAGGGCACCCAAUUGUGUAUACCUGACUGUAGUCUACGGACCAAGAUCAUACAAGAGCUGCACGGAGAAGAGCAUGUGGGAAGAGACCGAACUUAUUUGCUGGUGGCUGCGUCCUAUUUCUGGCCAUCACUGCGUAAAGAGGUUGGGUGUUUUGUUGCACGAUGUCGGGUCUGUCAAGUUGCAAAAGGGGGAGCUACCAAUGCCGGUUUGUACAUGCCACUUUCUGUUCCAAUACGGCAAUGGUCCGACAUCAGCAUGGAUUUUGUUUUAGGUCUCCCGCGCACCCAACGGGGAUUUGACUCUAUUUUUGUGGUAGUAGACAGGUUUUCAAAAAUGGCUCAUUUUAUUCCGUGUAAGAAAACGACAGAUGCUGUUAAUGUGGCUGAGUUGUUCUUUCGAGAAGUUUAUCGGUUGCAUGGGCUGCCAGAGUCAAUCGUAUCAGAUAGGGACACUCGUUUCCUAAGCCAUUUCUGGCGGAGUCUUUGGAAGAUGGUCAAUACUCGCUUGAAUUUUAGUAGUGCUUAUCACCCUCAAUCAGAUGGGCAAACCGAGGUAGUGAACAGGUCAUUGGGAAAUCUUCUUCGCAGUUUGGUAGGUGAUCAGUUAAAAUCUUGGGACAAGAAACUUGGCCAGGCAGAGUUUGCUCAUAACCAUGCAGUCAAUCGUAGCACCAAGCUCAGCCCCUUUGAAAUUGUGUAUGGGUUUCUUCCACGGUGUCCACUUGAUCUGGCUCAUCUACCAAGCAACACCAAAGUUAAUCACAAAGCAGAAGACUUUGUCACUCAGCUGCAGGAUGUUCACAACCUUACUCGACAAAACUUGAUGGAAUCUAUUGCCAAAUUCAAACGAGUUGCGGACCAAAAACGGCGACUUGUCGAUUUUGAAAUAGGUGACUUUGUCUGGGUGGUGCUAACCAAGGAUCGUUUUCCUAUAGGUGAAUACAAUAAAUUGUCACCAUGAAAAAUUGGUCCAGUGGAGAUUAUUAAGAAAAUUAAUUCAAAUGUUUAUCGCCUCAAGCUACCUAGCCAUAUUCGCACAGCAGAUGUGUUUAAUGUCAAGCACUUGGUCCCUUUCCACGGAGACUCAUCACCAGAGGAUGCAAAUUUCCUGAAUUCGUGGCCGAAUUCUUCUCAGCAUGGGGAGGAUGAUGCAGCACCGGGUGACAAGCCUCAUUUUUAAGACACCCAAAACAACAAAAAGGCUUGACAUUGUUGAGUCAUAAAUUUCACUAUUGAGCACUUUAAGUUUCUUAUGUAACGCUGGGAGUUUCAUUCCCGUUUCCUCACGUAGCUUUUAUUUCCAUAAUUAAAUUAGAGUUGUUUGCUUUAGGAGUCUAAGAGUUUAAUUUUCUUUCCGUUUCUACAUUCAGUUUUAUUUCCUAGUUAAUGCAGGACUGUUUCCUGAUCUAAGGGAGUUGUCUUUAGGAGGCUAAGAGGUCAGUUCCUUUAUUUAUUGGAUUGUAAUCGCUUUGCGACAGAUAGAUGGAAUAAAAAUAAAAAAACUUCUUUGAGUAGUUAACUCAAAAAUCUCUCUUUCUUUGUUUUCUACGGAAUUACAGAUCGAAGAAACCCUUGUGUGUUGGAACACGUGUGAGUUCCGUUUUAGUCUGCAUCAGAACUUCUUUUUUAUUCAGGGUUUUUGUUGUUUGCAGGGACGAAGGCAAUGAGGGCCAAUCUCGUCUCUAUGUUUAGUUGUUCUCUGUGUCUCUGUGUAUUUAUUUAUGCGCGUCUCUCUGUUUUUCCCUUGUUUCCCCUGCUUUUCUUCUGUUUCUGGUUACUGGUAUUUUGCUCUGUCUCUCCUCUUCCCGAUCUUCUCUGUUCAAGACGAAGAUGAUGGUGGUCUAGGCACCAGGUCUGCUGGUUGAUGGCCUCUUCCCCCACGGUGAAUUUGUGUUUUUUUACUCUGUAUUUUUAGCUCUCGAUCUCCCCCUCCUCUUUGUGUUUUCUUCGUCCUGCCUUUUAUAAGGCCAGGCCUUUUAUAAGGCCAGAGACCUUCAAAAAACCAUCACCUCCACCUACGGGAUUGUGGCAAUCAUGGCAGAAGACAUGGUCACGAUUUGGAUCGGAUGCACUGGGAUUUUCCUGUUGAAUCGGCUGCCUCCGUGCGAAACGGAAGGGAUGAAGAACACAGCUUCCAAACGGUGCCGUUUGUGUGUUUGAAGCACUUUUUCACUUUGGUCCCUGCUUUCUUUGGGAAUUUUGAUAAUUGGACCUCAAAUAAAAAUUCCUUUUAAUUUUACCCUUUUCUGGAUACAUUUCAAUUUGGUCCUUAAUUAAUUCUUUCAAUUUUGUUCUUUUUGGAUAAAUUUCAAUUAAGUCCCUGAAUUUAUUUAAUUAAUUAAAUCAAAGUUUAAUUAAGUCCACAAACUUAAUAAUUCUUCUAAUUUCAUUAAUUAAACUAAUCCAAAUUUUAAAUAAAUUUCCAAACUUAUUAAUUCUUCAAUUUCUGACCAAUUUAUUCUCAAAUCUAAUAUUUUUAUCCCUAAACUUUAAAAUUUGUUGUCUUAACCUCAUUGUCAACUAUAUUUUUAAUCAUUGAUUUUGUAUUAUUUAUUUAAAAAAUUAGGUUAUGACAGGUGUUUUAUUUCAAUUGUCACAUAAGUUUUGCGAUCUACCUUUGUAUAUCCUCAAUUUCUAGCUCAUGAACCUUUUUCUCUAAAGAAGAAACCUCUUCAUCCUCUCCUUGAACAUGUUUAGUUUUAUUAUUUUUUCCAGCUAUGGUUGUUUUGCAGCAUACAAAAAGCAAACAAUAAUCAAAGAUUGUUAGGUUCUGAUAUCAACUAAUAUAAACAGAAAUAAUACAAAAAAAUAGCAAAAACAAACAACACAAUUCUACUAAAAAGGAUCAUCACACCAAAAACCAGAAUUCAAAAUUUUAUUUCUUAAUAAUUUACCAUGUCAAGUAGUUUCCUUUGUAAGAGAUUUACAACUCCUUAAAUAAACUAAAAAAACACCUAAACAAACUAAAAACCUUCAAAAAAAAAACAAUAAAAUUCAUAAAAUAAUUAAAAAAAUAAAAUUAUUAAACAUAAUAUUUUAAAAGAAAUAGAAAAAAAAAAGAUAAAAACUAAGAAAAAUCAAUUUUUCAAAAAAAAAAAAAUCUCCUCGGAAACUCUAUUGUCCCUUCAUUUAUUCUACUAGCUAGUUUGGGCAUGUAAUCACAAGACGAGGCUUCAAUACACCUUGCUCAUACAUUAUUUAUAACCACACUAAGGAACACAGUAUAUCACAAGCAUUCUAGAUCUUGAACAAGUAGAUACAUCUGAAGCCAUUUUAAAGGCUUACCUUACCUUCAUUGAACUUAGAUACCUAUAACAAGCUUGACAGCUUGAAAUGUUACCUUCAUUGAACUUACAUACCGAUAACAGGCUUGACAGCUUGAAAUGUUCUAAAGCAGAGAUCCCAUCGAGUCCUUUUGCAUAGUAGUAGGUCGCCAAGCCCUUUACAGUGGUUUCUUGCUAGAUUGCGGAGCUUUAUACUGAUAGAAAAUCCUUAAUUGGCCCACAUAGUCCUGAGGCAUUCUCAGGACGAAUAAUUUCAAGACUCAUUCUCACCCUAAACCUUAUCAUCAUUACUAGGACAUGCUGGUUUGCUAGCUGCAUGAGUGCAUUCCAUUAAGAUUUCAAGGAUUUUCAUGAUUUAACUGUACAGAAAAUCUAUGUUUGAUUGAAUCCAGGAACCUUUACACGAGGCCUAUUAUAAUCACUACAGGAUAUUAAUAGAUUUUGCAAUACAGGGUUUGGCGAGUUGCUUUGAGCAGCAAGCACACGCACCUCAUGCAUUAGCCGCAUGAGGGUGUCCUUUCUGAACCGCUGAGCGUUUUCUUCGAAUAAAUUCAACCAGACACUUUUGCAGAAUGCUUGAGACUCUCCAGCAGAAUUUGUGGUAAUACAUGCAAGAGCAGAAUCGAAGUCUUCUUUUUCAAGCAUCAUGCAAAAUCUUUCUUUGACAAGAGGCGGCGGAGGAAUCCUAUCUUCCUGCUCCAAGUGCUUCCAAGUUAUUUCCAAAACUUCUCCCUGCAGUCACAAUGGGAAUUUGUAACUUCUCUUGAAUUGAAGAUUAGAAACAAAAAGAACACUAUUGAUGCUGUUUCAUCGUUGCCACUACACACAUACUACAUGUAUUUUUGUUUUUAUUAAUAUAGGCAUGAACAAUUCUUUAGUACUAAAUCUGAAGUCUUGAAAGGAUAAAGUGAGAAAUUUCAAUUUCUCUUGACAGUUUAUAUCUAAAAUUUGAAGAGGAUAAGGACAAGAAAGUUAGAUUUCCAUUACAAUGAAUUCUGAGAUUUUACACUUCCUAAAAUUUUCAGAAUUCAGAAUUUUCUAACAGAUGAAUUACCUAGAAGCAUUUUACAAAGAUUGUGUCCAAAGUGUACUAAAAAGAUAAGUUCUUGUCAUCCCUCCUAAGGAAUUCAACAAGGCAUCUAUUUUAUUCCUACAAGUGCUUUUGACUGUUCUCAUAUAAUAGCACCUUGAAUCAGGCUAUUCAGUCAGGAUGUAGAUGCAGUUUGGUAGCCUAGUGUUAUUUUUAUGGAGAUGCUAUUAACAUCCAUUUCAAUAAUAUGUUCACGUACAAGUGUAAUUUCAAAUAAUCACAAUAGAUUUGAGAAGUACCUUUCCAGCUCUAGAAGCAUCCAGUACCAUUCGAAGAUGACGGUUUGCAUUGAAGUGGAACCCAUGGCGCAACAUCUUUUGAUAAAUGUACUCAAAAUCAUCCCACCUGUUCUCUGCAAUGCUUGCAUCAAGCAUGGUGUUGAAAGUAUAGAUAUCUGGUAUUACCCGAAACUUGUAAUCAGAUCUUCUGCUGAUAUGAUUGCCAUCGUCUAACAUCUUGUUGAAAAGCUCGUUUGCUUCUUCAAACAAUCCAUGUUCUAGAUACGCUUUCAGCAUUAUGUUGCAAGUAACAAGAUUUGGGGGGCAAAAGUUCCUCAUUUGAUUGAAGAUGUACACAGCGUUUUGAAUGUUUCCAGAGUCCAGACAAGCUUGGAUUAAGCCAGUGUAAGUUACUACAAGCGGCUUAUUAGCAACCUUGCAUAUUUUCUCAAUCUGUGAAAUGAAAGGAGGUUGUGAUGGACUGUUUGUUCAAAGAAAAGCUAGUGGUAAUAAUAAGCACACAAAUUGUAGGUGGUUGAAGUGACACCAAACCUGUUGCAAUCUACUUGUUUAUAUCAUGGAGUUUUACAAAAGCAUCAAUGAGUGUACAAAAUAUAUAGCUUUAAAGCUUGCAAACUAUUAAAUGCCCAAAGAGACAUCCCAGCAGUUAGGAAAGGGCCCCAAUUGUGCAGCCCAAGGCUUCUUCAGUCUCUCAAUGAACCAAAGACGCACUUGCAAAACAUGCAUAUUCUUUGUGCAUUCAACAGUAGUAUAAGCUGAAACCUUAACUGGGCAGGCAACAGUUAUCAAUACACAGAUUUUUGCUUUUUGCAGUGAUAUAGCUCCCCGUGCUCAUAAACUCUAAUUAGCAACACACCAUUCAAUGCAUGCGGAUCGUUUAGCUACAAUACAGUGUUCUUUAUAUUCAGUUGUAAACAUACAUGCACAACAGAAACAUAGUAGAUUAAGCAUAAAAAGAUUACCAGAUCUAGUGCUUCUUGACACCUUCCAGAUGUACAGAGACAGCGUGCAAGAUCAUAAUAAAGAGCAGCUCAAUUCCCCGUCUUUCCAUGUCUUUGACAGCCAACACAGCCUCUUCUGUCUUACCCUCUCUCCAAAAAGUAUUGACGAGAACUGUAUGUAACAAGAAUUUGAUUUCAAAAUGAGGUUCUAUAAAAUCAAAUAAAUGAUAGACCAGUCAAGCACCUUUAUAUACUAAGGCAUUUGGAAUGGAAGACUUCUGAACUUUUUUGAAGAACUCAUGAACCAAGUUGUACUUGCCACAAGCAAGCAUGACCUGCUCAAGUAAACCAUUUUAUCAUUUCCUGGUUAUUACAAAAACUAAGAUGUAUAUUCAAGAAAAUGAGAAUAUCUAAACUGUUACCAGUUCCAUAAGUCCACUUUAUAAUACACAAGGCUUUUCAUAGGAAACAUUUUUCUUGAUGGUAUGCAGGUCAAAAGGAUAGCUCAUGCUCCUAUGCUUUGACAAUGAUAUUUAACACCAAAACCACCCUAAAAGAUGCUAGAUUGAGCACCUAUCUUAAAGAGCCAAAAAUGAUGGGAAAUUAUCACUUCAUGAUGCUAUGAAAUGGUACCCCCUCUUACUACUGAAAACUAACAUUGGAAUCCAACAUUAACAGAUAGUAGAAACUACCACAUGAACACAUGAGAGUGAAUCAAGAUAAAAAAACCUUAGAAUUAUCUUAAUUGUGAAGUAUGCAGUCAUUUGAAUAAUAUAAAAUUGAAUAUGAGAAACAGAAAGCCCAACCAGAGAAUUAAUAUUGUACAGCAAGUUCAUAUGACACCCUAUUCAACCAAACUGAUGUACCUAGGUUAGGUUACUAACUUCAUACUGCAAAAUCAAAGUCUUUUUUCUGAAUUAAACCUUUUAUUUAGCACUGGGUAAAACCUGGGGUACGUUCAAACCUCUCAGCAACAGGUGAGAUGAAUCUGGACGACACCAAAGAGGUUGGUGGUAGGAUUUGAACCAACAGUUGAUGUUUUUACUCAGAAAAAAUAAGUCCAUAUGCUUAGAUUAGAAGUCUAGUUCUAUGAACAGCUCUAUGAAAGUUGAAAUAUGGAGUGAUAAUCAUAGUAGCAAGUACAUGACUAGCUGUUUAUCAGAACAAUGAUAAACUCAUACAACAAGGUAUUGCUAAGAAUCUAAGAUACAGGUUCUGCUGAUGUGAAAUAUUGAUAAGAACCAUGGAUAGUAAAAACAGCUAUUACCUCCAUAACAAGUCCAUACGUUGCAGGUUGCACACCCUUUUCCUUCAUCUGCUGUAAGACCCAAAAUGCACCUUCCCAUUGUUUUCGCCGAACACAAGCAUUUAGGACCUACAUACAGAAGGAAUGUCAAAAUGCCGUGGAUGAUCAUAGCUGGAUUUAUGCAUUAUGUAAAUUGAAAUGAUUCACAGAUAAUUGAUUGAAUAUGCCAAGGGAAAUAGAUAAUGCAUGAUCAGCAAGUUAUGGCACAAGUCCAUCCUUGGUGUUAUACCCAAUUAGUGGGAAGAGAUGCAAUAGAUGAGAUAGUCGAAAUUCUUAGAAUGAUCUUAAGACUACGGAAAAUAUGCCCUCUCAAAACAAUAUACAGUAAUGAUUUUACUUUGCUGUUACAGGGACCACAAAGCACCCUUUCAGGUCAUCUCAAAUUUAACAAAGCAUGCUUAUUGUUUAAUGUUGAUAACAAGAUCAGUUCAUACCUAGAGAACAUGCAAAAACUAUAGAUUUUUAGAUAGAGAUAAGUCAAAACUUAGCUUAAUGGGUAUCAUUUGGAAAGGUUAGAUUCAAUGAAAAGAACUUGUCAUCCAAAAAUUUCAGAGGGCUAUUAUGUCAUCCAGCAUAAGCAUAAGGUGAUGCAAUAUACUGGGUUUAGCAAUUUCUUAAAUAUCCAUAACAUUUUCUUUGAUAACAGUUUUGAACUAUCAUGUAUUUCAGGCUGACUUUGAGCACAUGCCCACAAACACAUGCAUGCAGAGUUAAUUACAUUUGACAUGCUUGGGACAACUAACAGUCAUCAAUAUGGGUUUUGAAGGAAAAAUUAUAGUGCAGAGGUUACAGACAAAUGUUUUCCAGAUAUAGACGGCUAGUUUACUGCCAAGUGUCACUAACCGCAUUGUAGACAACAAUAUCAGGUUCCAACCCUAGGUCCCGCUUCCCAAGUGCCCCAGAUUUGAACUUCUUGGGAGGAGAUCGCAUGCUAUCUAUGACAUCAAAAAGUUCCUUCAUAUAUCCUGCUUGUCCGAGAGUGACAGCUAUAGAACGAUAAGCUACUAGGUCAGGAUACAAACACAUUUCUUGCUGGAGAGAACAGGGGAAAAAAAGAAGAAGAAGCAAUGACACAAGUCAGUGAGGAUUUCCUUUUAUAUUGUUCAAUUAAAUAACCUUGUAUUAAAUGAGAAAGGAGCAAGGCAUCAGAUGAAAAUUCUUGAGCAUUACCUGCAUUGCAUGAAAUAAAUUGAGUGCCUCCACAGGUCUCUUUGCCUUGCCAAGUACAUGAAGUGCAGUUGUGUAAACAUGACUGUAUCAAGACAUGAUGACUUACCCAAAUUACCAAUCAAAAUUUACAAUUUUGUGAACUAAUUCAAGAGAGGAUAAAAUUUUGGAUUGAGUGAUACAAGUCAUGAAAACUAUAUUUAGAAACAGAACAAGCUUUUUUUCUGCAACGUUAAAAGGUAAAAGAGUAUAUGUUGCAAAAAAGCUACACUCCAAAGAACUAAAGUGGGCUUCUCUUUCCUUACAGGACAGAGAUUCACCCUUCAGUAUGAUGAUGUUCAAUUUAAUCAAUUUAUGUAGAACAAUCUAGAUUUUGUCUGGGAAGAAACUCUGAGAGAUUAUCUUUGAAAUUUACCAAGCAUCAAGAUAAAUUCCAUUGCUCCUUGAAUUUCAGUACUCUGUACUCUAGAAAGGUAUUGUCGUUCAUGCAUACAAACAGCAGUGCAAAGAAGAUGAGAAGAUGUUACCUUAGCCUGUGGGAUUUAUAGCGUUCUCGUAUGUUAAGCCACUCGAUAACUUGUAGCACUCGCCUCCAAUUGCCCAAUUUACCCAAUAUCUGGAUAAUCCUCAAUACAGAAUGAUCUGUAUAUUUAACUCUAGCACUACGCAUUGCCUUAGAGAACAUCCACUCAGGCAUAUCAAUAUCAGCACCAUUUAACCUGCCGAAAUGAGCUGCUUCAACUUGGCAUGAUAAAUGAAUCAUCAAAGAUACAAAGAAUGAGACUGGUUCAAAUGAAGCAAUGAGCUACUUCAACUUGGCAUGAUAAAUGAAUCAUCAAAGAUACAAAGAAUGAGACUGGUUCGAAUGAAGCAUAGAAAAGAUAGAUGUACAUAUUUAAUGUAAGGGAACUUGUAUGUUCACAAGGUUAUUGACACAAGCACACAUGCCCACAUUGAAGAAAGAAUAGACAACUAUUAGAAAUUAGAAAGUUAAUUUGAUCUGAUGUAGAAUUGGGAAUAGACAAUUAUUAGGAAUUAGAAAGUUAACUUAUCUAUGAUGUAAAAUUUACCUAAACUUAAUAUCUAUGACUUGAUUUUAUACUGGUAUUUAUAAAAUUACAUCUAAAAAUACAAAGAAAGGAUAUGCUAAAAAAUCCAAGACAAGAAAACAAGAUUUCGAUUAGAAUUAUCAGGAACAAAUUUCAUUCCUUGUAAAAUUAAAAAUUAUUAGGAAUUGCUAAAAUAUUUAGAAUAUGAGCAAUUUAAGCAAUGGAUUUAGUAGGAAUUCCACUGGAAUGCAGGCUCGCGAGAAUUACUUUCUAAAACAAAACAUCAUCCACACAAAAAGACAUUCCCUUCAUUGAUGUUUAACAACUUGUUCCUCCAUAAUUUGUUUACUUUUAUAUGAACUGUCCUGCUUUCUGGAAAGAACAAACCAAGUAAGAAACCAACGGCCCCUUGCCCCCCAAAGCUAAGGCUGUCCCACAAACAAAACUGCUUGGUGUGUGACUGUAAUCUAAACAUGGAGUGAGGAGAAGGGGCACAUUAAUCUCUGGAGCACUUGUUACAGUGGCAAAUCAGAGUCCAAUGAAUUCAAAAAUGUAUCAGGUAUCAGUACCAAAGUUGGAAAAAUAAACAGGGACGGAGGACAUUGUAUUGGAAAUGUUCUUUGACAUGAAUCAGAUUGCUUUGCUCUGUUACAUGAAGACUGGUACAAUUACCAGCAUAGAUCAAAAUACAAAAUAGAUUAGCUACACAGAAUUUGCACACACAUGCCAAAAAUUUGUUAGUUGUAAUGAAGGAUAGUUAAAGUUCAGUUGAGCUUAUGAAGAAAAAAAGAGAGGAUAUAAAAGAGUAUAGAUUACACACCAGUUUCCUAGCUUCUGAAUCUUCUCCUCUAUUUUCCACAUCGGAACUUUUGUCUUGCCAAUAACAUCAUUGGAUUGCUCAAAGCUUUUAAAGGCAGCCCUUUUCACUUCAAAAUCUCACCAUAUCCCCUUUCAAGAAAAGCCUGAUCACUUCUUUUGAUAAUCCGUUUUCUGCACAUAUCUCUUGUCAGUAAUUUUAUCAGCUUGACUACGAUUCCUGACAAGUCCACCAUUCAUUUUGUUGACUCCAGAACCAAUGUUCUCUUCUUCAAAAGCUUUCCCCUUUAUUCCAAACAUAUCCAGGGAAUCUUUAGCAUGAGCAAGAUUUCUUUUAAGCCAAUAGUUCUAUCAAUGCUUUCAAUAUAUUCUAAUACAUAGGACUUCGUUGAGCAAUUCGAGUCUUCUACUCUUGGUUUCAUUGAAAUCCUCUGAGUCUGAAUUCAUGCUGCUAGUAUGAUCCCUCAACCAUCGUCCAUCACUCGUUGCCCUCCCAUUUUCCUUCUAAAUCAGCAUGCAGACACUUACUUUUCCACCCACCUUAUGAUUGAACUCUCUAAUUCUCCUCCUCUGUAAUCAAGCUCAACAUUAACUACAUCUUCUUGACCAGAGCAUCCAUCACUAUUUCACCAAACUCAUCACUUUCCAUGACUCCAGACACCUUUUCUCGUUGUUAAACCUCUCAAAUCCACAUUGCUUUCAUGUCUUACUGAUGAAGGGGCAUCACUCUCCUCUAAAUCACCCUUCAAAUUAUAGCAUGCGCAUGACUUUCUUUGCCAUCCACAUUAUGACUGAACUCUCUAAUUCUUCCCCCUCUGUAAUCAAGCUCUGCGUUAACUACAUCUUCCUCACCACUGGGUCCAUUAGCAUUCUCGCCAAACUCAUCACUUUCCAUGAUUUUGGACACCUUCACUCGAUCCUUAAACCCCCUCAAUUUUACACUCCUUUCAUCUCUUUCCAACAAUGGCGCAUCUUCCCUCUAAAUCAUCCUUCAACUUAUAACUAUUUGACUUAUGUACUUGAUUCUUUUCUUCCAGUCUUAACAGACUCCAUAGCCUUCAAAUACUCACCAAAGAUGGUUUAAAUUCUAACUCUUUCUCAAUAACCCCACCACCACCAACCAACCGAUUAUCAGACUCGUCUUUUUGCAAUGCCUUAACUCUUAAACCAACAACUCUCAUUGCUUUUCCCACGCUUGCUCUUCAAUGGAAACCAGAAAUUGGAGGUCUCCAAGAAUUCAAAGGCCCACAUGAAGAAUAUGGUUUCCAGCUACAAUUACAGGUUAAGUUCCCAUUUCUUUCAAAACCAGAUAAACCGUUUUGCCCAUUUGUCAUAAUUAUCACCUCCAUAUUAUCAAUUCAC